GGCCAGACUCCUACGGGAGGCAGCAGUGGGGAAUAUUGCACAAUGGGGGGAACCCUGAUGCAGCGACGCCGCGUGGGUGAAGAAGUCAUUCGUGACGUAAAGCCCUCUCAGCAGGGAAGAAAAUGACGGUACCUGACUAAGAAGCCCCGGCUAACUACGUGCCAGCAGCCGCGGUAAUACGUAGGGGGCAAGCGUUAUCCGGAUUUACUGGGUGUAAAGGGAGCGUAGACGGCGGCGCAAGUCCGGAGUGAAAGCCCGCGGGCCAACCGUGGGACUGCUCUGGAAACUGGGCGGCUUGGGUGCGGGAGGGGCAGGCGGAAUUCCUAGUGUAGCGGUGAAAU
rnacentral:rRNA from 1 species